AUUGAACGCUGGCGGAAUGCUUUACACAUGCAAGUCGAACGGCAGCACGGGAGCUUGCUCCUGGUGGCGAGUGGCGAACGGGUGAGUAAUGCGUCGGAACGUGCCGAGUAAUGGGGGAUAACGCAGCGAAAGUUGUGCUAAUACCGCAUACGCCCUGAGGGGGAAAGUGGGGGAUCGCAAGACCUCACGUUAUUCGAGCGGCCGACGUCUGAUUAGCUAGUUGGUGGGGUAAAGGCCUACCAAGGCGACGAUCAGUAGCGGGUCUGAGAGGAUGAUCCGCCACACUGGGACUGAGACACGGCCCAGACUCCUACGGGAGGCAGCAGUGGGGAAAUUUUUGGACAAUGGGGGCGAACCCCUAGAUCCACGCCAUUCCGCCGUGAGUGAAG
rnacentral:rRNA from 1 species